AGUGAACGCUGGCGGUAGGCCUAACACAUGCAAGUCGAACGGCAGCACAGUAAGAGCUUGCUCUUACGGGUGGCGAGUGGCGGACGGGUGAGGAAUACAUCGGAAUCUACUUUUUCUUGGGGGAUAACGUAGGGAAACUUACGCUAAUACCGCAUACGACCUACGGGUGAAUGCAGGGGCUCUUCGGACCUUGCGCGAUUGAAUGAGCCGAUGUCGGAUUAGCUAGUUGGCGUGGUAAAGGCCCACCAAGGCGACGAUCCGUAGCUGGUCUGAGAGGAUGAUCAGCCACACUGGAACUGAGACACGGUCCAGACUCCUACGGGAGGCAGCAGUGGGGAAUAUUGGACAAUGGGCGCAAGCCUGAUCCAGCCAUACCGCGUGGGUGAAGAAGGCCUUCGGGUUGUAAAGCCCUUUUGUUGGGAAAGAAAAGCAGCAGGUUAAUACCCCACUGUUCUGACGGUACCCAAAGAAUAAGCACCGGCUAACUUCGUG
rnacentral:rRNA from 1 species